rnacentral:rRNA from 1 species
GGCUCAGGACGAACGCUGGCGGCGUGCUUAACACAUGCAAGUCGAACGAUGAAGUCACUUCGGUGGUGGAUUAGUGGCGAACGGGUGAGUAACACGUGGGCAAUCUGCCCUUCACUCUGGGACAAGCCCUGGAAACGGGGUCUAAUACCGGAUAACACUCUGUCCCGCAUGGGACGGGGUUGAAAGCUCCGGCGGUGAAGGAUGAGCCCGCGGCCUAUCAGCUUGUUGGUGGGGUAAUGGCCUACCAAGGCGACGACGGGUAGCCGGCCUGAGAGGGCGACCGGCCACACUGGGACUGAGACACGGCCCAGACUCCUACGGGAGGCAGCAGUGGGGAAUAUUGCACAAUGGGCGAAAGCCUGAUGCAGCGACGCCGCGUGAGGGAUGACGGCCUUCGGGUUGUAAACCUCUUUCAGCAGGGAAGAAGCGAAAGUGACGGUACCUGCAGAAGAAGCGCCGGCUAACUACGUGCCAGCAGCCGCGGUAAUACGUAGGGCGCAAGCGUUGUCCGGAAUUAUUGGGCGUAAAGAGCUCGUAGGCGGCUUGUCACGUCGGAUGUGAAAGCCCGGGGCUUAACCCCGGGUCUGCAUUCGAUACGGGCUAGCUAGAGUGUGGUAGGGGAGAUCGGAAUUCCUGGUGUAGCGGUGAAAUGCGCAGAUAUCAGGAGGAACACCGGUGGCGAAGGCGGAUCUCUGGGCCAUUACUGA